rnacentral:tRNA from 1 species
GAGGGUAUAGCUCUGUGGUAGAGUGCCUGCCUAGCAUGCACAAGGUCCUGGCUUCAAUCUCCAGUACCUCCA